CGCCUUCAGCCUAACUUUAUUGAAGGUCCGACCUGCCCAGUGAACUUUUUAACGGCCGCGGUACCCUGACCGUGCUAAGGUAGCGCAAUCCCUUGCCUUUUAAUUGAUGGCUAGUAUGAAUGGUCAGACGAGCGUAACCUUGUCUCUAAUAAGCUAAAUGUAAAUUAACCUUUAGGUGCAGAGGCCUAAACACAAAAGAAGGACAAAAAGACCCUAUCGAGCUUCAUACUUCUUUAGCCCACCACUAAAUAAAUAUUUUGUUGGGGCAACAAGGGAGCAAAUAAACCCUCCCUAUAAACUUUGGAUCUUAUCCUUUCCAACUCUCGAAUUUCAUUCAAAAUAAAUACAAGCUACCGUAGGGAUAACAGACUAAUCUCCUCCGAGAGCCCACAUUGACGAGGAGGCUUGGCACCUCGAUGUUGGCUUAGGGCCCCUUCAAGAAGCAGCCCUCUUGAAAGUAGGUUUGUUCAACCUUUAAAGCCCUA
rnacentral:rRNA from 1 species